UACAGAGGGUGCGAGCGUUAAUCGGAAUUACUGGGCGUAAAGCGCGCGUAGGCGGCUUUUCAAGUCGAUUGUGAAAUCCCCGGGCUUAACCUGGGAACUGCAGUCGAGACUGUCUAGCUAGAGUAUGGGAGAGGGAAGUGGAAUUUCAGGUGUAGCGGUGAAAUGCGUAGAUAUCUGAAGGAACAUCAGUGGCGAAGGCGGCAUCCUGGACCGGCAUUGACGCUGAGGAGCGAAAGCCAGGGGAGCAAACGGG
rnacentral:rRNA from 1 species